rnacentral:rRNA from 1 species
AUACGGAGGGUGCAGGCGUUAUUCGGAAUCACUGGGCGUAAAGGGUGCGUAGGCGGUUUGAUAAGUCUGAUGUGAAAUCCUAUGGCUCAACCAUAGAACUGCAUUGGAAACUGUCAGACUAGAAUACUGAAGGGGCAGAUGGAAUUAGUGGUGUAGGGGUAAAAUCCGUAGAUAUCACUAGGAAUACCGAAAGCGAAAGCGAUCUGCUGGGAAGUUAUUGACGCUGAGGCACGAAAGCGUGGGGAGCAAACGGGAUUAGAAACCCCAGUAGUCC